rnacentral:rRNA from 1 species
UUUAAAUGGCCGCAGUAUAUUAACUGUGCAAAGGUAGCAUAAUCAUUAGUCUUUUAAUUGAAGGCUGGUAUGAAUGGUUGGACGAAAUAUUAACUGUUUCAUAUAAAUUUAUAAUAGAAUUUUAUUUUUUAGUUAAAAAGCUAAAAUAUAUUUAAAAGACGAGAAGACCCUAUAAAUCUUUAUAUUUAGAUUAUUAUAAUUUUUUGGUUUAAUUUUAUUAUGAUAAUUAAUUGUAUUUUAUUGGGGUGAUAUUAAAAUUUAAUAAACUUUUAAUAAUUAAAAUCAUUAAUUUAUGAAUAAUUGAUCCGUUAUUAACGAUUAAAAAUUUAAGUUACUUUAGGGAUAACAGCGUAAUUUUUUUGGAGAGUUCAUAUCGAUAAAAAAGAUUGCGACCUCGAUGUUGGAUUAAGAGAUAUAUUUUGGUGUAGCCGUUAAAAUGUUAAGUCUGUUCGACUUUUAAUUUCU